rnacentral:piRNA from 1 species
UGAUGGCCUGCAUGGUCCUUGACAGA